rnacentral:rRNA from 1 species
UACGUAGGGUGCAAGCGUUGUCCGGAAUUAUUGGGCGUAAAGAGCUCGUAGGCGGUCUGUCGCGUCGGCUGUGAAAACCCGAGGCUCAACCUCGGGCCUGCAGUCGAUACGGGCAAACUAGAGUACUGCAGGGGAGACUGGAAUUCCUGGUGUAGCGGUGAAAUGCGCAGAUAUGACAUAGAACACCAAUUGCGAAGGCAGCUUACUACACAGUUAUUGACACUGAGGCACGAAAGCGUGGGGAUCAAACAGG